GUUGAACGCCGGCGGCAGGCUUAACACAUGCAAGUCGAGCGGUAACAGAGAGAAGCUUGCUUCUCUGCUGACGAGCGGCGGACGGGUGAGUAAUGCCUAGGAAUCUGCCUAGUAGUGGGGGAUAACUUGCCGAAAGGUAAGCUAAUACCGCAUACGUCCUACGGGAGGAAGGAGGGGACCUUCGGGCCUUUCGCUAUUAGAUGAGCCUAGGUCGGAUUAGUUAGUUGGUGAGGUAAAGGCUCACCAAGACCGCGAUCCGUAACUGGUCUGAGAGGAUGAUCAGUCACACUGGAACUGAGACACGGUCCAGACUCCUACGGGAGGCAGCAGUGGGGAAUAUUGGACAAUGGGGGGAACCCUGAUCCAGCCAUGCCGCGUGUGUGAAGAAGGUCUUAGGAUUGUAAAGCACUUUAAGUUGGGAGGAAGAGCAGUUAACUAAUAUUUGACUGUUUUGACGUUACCGACAGAAUAAGCACCGGCUAACUUCGUGCCAGCCGCCGCAGUAA
rnacentral:rRNA from 1 species